rnacentral:rRNA from 1 species
GACGAACGCUGGCGGCGUGCCUAACACAUGCAAGUCGAACGGACAGGCCCUGCUUUUGUGGGGUGCUCGAGUGGCGAACGGGUGAGUAACACGCGUGUAACCCGUCCUUGACUUUGGGAUAACUUUAGGAAACUGGGGCUCAUAUCGGAUAGGAGCUCCUGCUGCACGGUGGGGGUUGGAAAGAUUCGGCGGUUGGGGCUGGAUUCGCAGCAUAUCAGCUAGCUGGUGGGGUAGUGGCUUACCAAGCCUUUGAGGGGUAGCCGGCCUGGGAGGGUGAACGGCCACAUUGGGACUGAGGGACGGAGCAGAAGGGUACGGGAGGCAGUGGGCGAGAAUAUGGCGCAGUGAGCGGGAGCGAGAGACGAAAACGUCGCGAGCGGGAUGACGGCUUUCGAGUUAUAAACCGCUUUCGAAGGAACCGUGGCGGGAGUGACGGUAAUGAGUAAGGAAGCACCGGCUAACUACGUG